rnacentral:rRNA from 1 species
UACAGAGGGGGUAAGCGUUGUUCGGAAUUACUGGGCGUAAAGGGCGCGUAGGCGGCCUGCUAAGUCGAACGUGAAAUCCCUGGGCUCAACCCAGGAACUGCGUCCGAUACUGGUUGGCUUGAAUCCGGGAGAGGGAUGUGGAAUUCCAGGUGUAGCGGUGAAAUGCGUAGAUAUCUGGAGGAACACCGGUGGCGAAGGCGACAUCCUGGACCGGUAUUGACGCUGAGGCGCGAAAGCCAGGGGAGCAAACGGG